GCCGCCAUGGUGAAAUUGGAGAACACG
rnacentral:tRNA from 1 species